CAUUUUUGUGUGAUAGGGGUGCUAACCUGGAAGACACAAUGAAGUGCAUUCUUAGGUAUGCUGUGACAAACUCCUUGGCUGUGCAAUACAACUGCUGUGGCAAAGGAGAGAAACACAGUUUUUGCCAUCUUGAAGUUGCAGGAUACCAUUAUCAUGUGUGCAAGCAUGAAGACUAUAGGCAUACAACAGCAGCCUCUGUCAAAGUCAUUAUGAAAGAAUGGUUCCACACAGCCAGAGACCGAGAUGGAGGGUGAUGAAGGAGGGAUUUAAGUGUAAACCACUAACAACAGUGUGAACACACACAAAUAAUAGUGAAGCUUUGCAGGUCACAGCUGUGAGUGUUAUGCAUGCACCACAUAACAUAUAGCUAUA